rnacentral:misc_RNA from 1 species
UCGGGGGCUGGUACUGCAGAACGUGUAGGUGCAUGAGUGGUGUUUUGCUUGUGUUGGUUGGUUGGAUCCUUGCUCUGGCAACGACGUCCAUCCUCGCAUGCAUCUUCAGUCGGGUCUCGUGAUACCUGUUAUCUCGAGCUAUGAAUCGGUUUCCUGUGUUGCGUACCUCUAAAGAUGGCAAUCGGUAGUCCCAACGUCCCACUUCGCCUUGCGUUGUCCCUUUCCGGGGCGACGCGGGGUGAACCAUGAAGUAAUCUCUGCGUCCCACUCCACGCACAUUAGGUUNUGGUUGUGGAUUGGUCCGCAGGGCAUUCGCUUGAGCUCUCGGAUGCGGUGCAUUAUACGCGGGCACGAGGACUCACGUCCUCUAUUUGCCCGAACAAAAGCUUUCAUCG